rnacentral:rRNA from 1 species
UACGAAGGGGCUAGCGUUGCUCGGAUUGACUGGGCGUAAAGGGCGCGUAGGCGGUUCGUACAGUCAGACGUGAAAUUCCUGGGCUCAACCUGGGGGCUGCGUUUGAUACGUGCGGACUUGAGUGCGGAAGAGGGUCGUGGGAAUUCCCAGUGUAGAGGUGAAAAUUCUAGAUAUUGGGGAAGAACACCGGUGGCGAAGGCGGCAACCUGGUCCUUGACUGACGAGGCGCGAAAGCUGGGG